UACGUAGGCAGCAAGCGUUGUUCGGAAUCACUGGGCGUAAAGGGUGCGUAGGCGGGUCUUUAAGUCAGGGGUGAAAUCCUGGAGCUCAACUCCAGAACUGCCUUUGAUACUGAAGAUCUUGAGUUCGGGAGAGGUGAGUGGAACUGCGAGUGUAGAGGUGAAAUUCGUAGAUAUUCGCAAGAACACCAGUGGCGAAGGCGGCUCACUGGCCCGAUACUGACGCUGAGGCACGAAAGCGUGGGGAGCAAACAGG
rnacentral:rRNA from 1 species